GCCAUAAUAAAAUUUAUACGAAGCGCCUUCAAAGAUCCAGAGACUGCAACUGUUUUUUACCACGAAUACGCGAUAUACCAGCCAGAUAUUUAAAAUGUAUCACCCCGGAUUAGAUCCAGGGGUGUUCAAUAUGAAGCCGAAUGCGGACACGCCGAACAACUACCCCAAUACCAUCGCCCCACCACCAUAUACAGAACAGGCAGUGGUGCCCAACCUUCGUCGAUUUACGGGUGCACCAGCUGCUACCCUCCAACAAAAACCCAAGGAUACGUUUGUAAUACAACACCAGCCAACAGUAAAGGCUGCCUUCCCAAAACGGUUUAUGACUGUCGACUUCGAACAGGCCACGAUUCCCCUCCACCAGCCCAAUGAGUCCAGGCUUGCUUAUAUCCAUCAGGGAGCUGGGACACCGCUACAAAAGCAAGGCACGAAUGAUACAGUCGUGACUAAGCAACCUGCUCAAAUUCCAAGAGAAUGGAGCACUAAAUUAUGUGCUUGCUGUGAUGACACUGGCGUGUGCAUCGCCAGUACCUGUUCGUGUCUGCUUUUUUGCUGUUGUGUUCCGGUCAUUGAGUAUCAGAUCGCUGAUGCUGCUGGUGUCAGUUGCUGCUACACGUUUUGUUUUGCUGAUAAACUGCGUAGAAUGAUCAGGAAAAGGCACAACAUUAAGGGGGACAAAAGUGAUGACUUCUGGACUGUAUUUUGUUGUAUUUACUGCGCUUAUUGUCAAAUGCUACGAGAGAUAAAUAUUCACGGCAUGUAGCCUGCGGGUCAGCGACGGUAAAUGUCGUGUGGUUCCUGGGAGGCGCUGUUACAUAGUGCAAUUUGUCUUGCAACUUGGAAUGUACUUCUACUUUUAAGAGAUGUAAAUUAAUGAAGAGUCGUCAAAUCUAAACGUAAGAAAAGUCAUGGAAUGUAAGAUAACGCAAAAUUUAAAAAUAAGGGCGCUUUCCUGCAUGCGGUAAAAACCAGUCCUGUUGUAUUUCAGUACAGACAGAUUAAUGCAGGUUAUCUUAGAGUGUUUCAAAAACUCUUCAUUCUAACACGAUAUAGUUAUUUACAUCUGCGUAGUACGGGAAAUGCAGUUACAAUUUUAUUAUAUUU